rnacentral:rRNA from 1 species
UACAGAGGGUGCAAGCGUUGUUCGGAAUUAUUGGGCGUAAAGCGCGUGUAGGCGGCCAAGUAAGUUGGGUGUGAAAGCCCUCGGCUUAACCGAGGAAGUGCGCCCAAAACUGCUUGGCUUGAGUACCGGAGAGGGUGGCGGAAUUCCCGGUGUAGAGGUGAAAUUCGUAGAUAUCGGGAGGAACACCAGUGGCGAAGGCGGCCACCUGGACGGCUACUGACGCUGAGACGCGAAAGCGUGGGGAGCAAAC